AUAUAAUCAUAACGUAUAACUUCAUUUCAAAAUUAUAAUUAUUUUAUAAUACUUACAUGUAUCUGAUUCGAUUCGAUCUAAUCUCUCUUAUUUAUCCGAUGCGAUAUAACUUGAAGCAUAUUUAUAACAGAUAUAGGUAUAAAAUUUUUAAUUACAGAAUUAGUAUGGAUAUUGACUGAAAUGACUCAUAUCCGAUCUAUUACCAUCUUUAGCUGUCAA
rnacentral:lncRNA from 1 species